CAUGCACAUUAAUAGAGCUUGGAACGAAGGCCACUGGCUGCCAAUGAACCCUCAAGUGUAGGUACUAUGCUACGUGAAGGCAAGUUUUUCACUAACACCACAAGGGUCUUUGGUCCAAUAAAUGGAGUUGAAUAGUAAUUCUUGCUACAAGU
ensembl:snoRNA SNORA62 Small nucleolar RNA SNORA62/SNORA6 family